rnacentral:tRNA from 1 species
AGGUUGUGGCUGAGUGGUAGAGUGCUUAUUUAGCAUGCAUGAGGCACUGGGUUCAAUUCUCAGCAGGACCUA